rnacentral:lncRNA from 1 species
UAAGGAAGAAAGUAUACGUCCGUACUAGAGUCCGCUUAGAAAUGCUAUCUACCAUGGUUAGAUAUCCACCUUAAGUAUAAGAGUAUUCACCCAAAUGCUUUUUGUGUAAAUAUUGAUGUAUUAGUUUACGUGUAUUGUGUUAUAGGCCAAUUUCACCCGGGCCCAAGACCAAAUACAAAUAAUAAAGAAAACAAAAAAAAGCCCAAAUAUCUAUUCCAUUUACAAAAAAAAACAGCAGACCGAAAUACAAGCCCAAAAAAAUAAAAACCCUAAUAGCCCAAUCAGCCCAAAACCUAAACACCUAACAGAAACCCUAGCCCCUAACCCAAGCAGCGCUGCACCCUACCCUAAGCCUUACCGUCGCCGCACGCCACCUCUUCCGCAUGCUCUAACAUCUCUGUCACCUGCAAAGAACAAGAAACAUGCAAGAAAGAAGAGGACAACAAAGAAGAAAACAAAAGAAUGGCAGCAGACAAGAAACAAAAAGACAAAAAACGAAUCUAGCACCUCGGUUAUAAAAGAGGCCCUAUGAGACAUGUACUUUUUUUACGAACAUUAAUUAAAAAAGGAAACAAAAUACCGAUUUCAAAGGUGAAAUUUUUAUUUUCUUAUUGGUUAUCUUUUAUUUUUUUUAUUUUCUUUUUUUUUUGCAUACUAAAUAAUAAAAAU